CAGCCGCCACGGGAAUACGGAGGGAGCUAGCGUUAUUCGGAAUUACUGGGCGUAAAGCGCACGUAGGCGGCUUUGUAAGUUAGAGGUGAAAGCCCGGAGCUCAACUCCGGAAUUGCCUUUGAUACUGCAUCGCUUGAAUCCAGGAGAGGUGAGUGGAAUUCCGAGUGUAGAGGUGAAAUUCGUAGAUAUUCGGAAGAACACCAGUGGCGAAGGCGGCUCACUGGACUGGUAUUGACGCUGAGGUGCGAAAGCGUGGGGAGCAAACAGGAUUAGAUACCCCGGUAGUCCCUGUCUCUUAUAC
rnacentral:rRNA from 1 species